AGCUCCAAUAGCGUAUAUUAAAGUUGUUGCAGUUAAAAAGCUCGUAGUUGAAUUUUGAAUAUAAUUUUAAAGAGAUCACACGGGAUGUGUUGUAUUUCUUUGUUAUAUUUUUUUAUUAAUUGUUUCCCGGAGAGAUUAUUGAUUUAAUUUUUUUGGGGUUUAUAAACAUUAAUUUAUUUACUUUGAGAAAAUUAGAGUGUUUAAAGCAGGCUUUGUAUUGAUGCCUUGAAUACUACAGCAUGGAAUAAUGAAAUAAGACUUUGCGCUUAUUUUGUUGGUUUCUAAGCGUCAGAGUAAUGAUUAAUAGAAAUAGUUGGGGGUAUUCAUAUUUUAUUGUCAGAGGUGAAAUUCUUGGAUUUAUGAAAGAUGAACUUUUGCGAAAGCAUUUAUCAAGGAUGUU
rnacentral:rRNA from 1 species